UCAAUUUUCGCCACCAAAACUAUCUUAUAAAAGGAAGCUCUUUUCCAGGUUAUUGUUAAACAUGGCUAAAAUGGAAAAACACUGAAUUUCUCCACUUCAAAUUGAUCUAAACAUUCCUUUGGAUGAGCAUGUCGGUGGAGAACAACUACCUGAUCUUAUUGAAGAUGCAUUUCCCGACCUCAAUCUUAUUCCCGAUGAAGAAGAUGACACACAACUGAGUGGAGAAUUGCAAGCAUCACUAGAAGAACGAACCAUAAAUUCUGAGGCAAAUGAAGAACUAUCACAACCAAAGA